GCCAAUGAUGAUGAAAUUGCAUUUGGCUGAAAUGCAAGUUCUUGCAUUUCUCUGUUGAGAAUUUUUGAACUAGGACGGUCUGAGGC